AGAUUGAACGCUGGCGGAAUGCUUUACACAUGCAAGUCGAGCGGCAGCGCGGGGCAACCUGGCGGCGAGCGGCGAACGGGUGAGUAACACAUCGGAACAUGUCCAUUCGUGGGGGAUAGCCCGGCGAAAGCCGGAUUAAUACCGCAUACGCCCUACGGGGGAAAGCGGGGGACUUCGCAAGAGGCCUCGCGCGAAUGGGUUGGCCGAUGUCCGAUUAGCUAGUUGGUGGGGUAAAGGCUUACCAAGGCGAUGAUCGGUAGCUGGUCUGAGAGGAUGAUCAGCCACACUGGGACUGAGACACGGCCCAGACUCCUACGGGAGGCAGCAGUGGGAAUUUGGACAAUGGGGGCAACCCUGAUCCAGCCAUUCCGCGUGAGUGAAGAAGGCCUUCGGGUUGUAAAGCUCUUUUGUCCGGAACGAAACGGUAGCGUAGAAUAUCGCUGCCUACUGACGGUACCGAAGAAUAAGCACGCUAACUACGUGCCAGCAGCCGC
rnacentral:rRNA from 1 species